rnacentral:rRNA from 1 species
AGAGUUUGAUCAUGGCUCAGAUUGAACGCUGGCGGCAGGCCUAACACAUGCAAGUCGAGCGGUAGCACAGAGAGCUUGCUCUCGGGUGACGAGCGGCGGACGGGUGAGUAAUGUCUGGGAAACUGCCUGAUGGAGGGGGAUAACUACUGGAAACGGUAGCUAAUACCGCAUAAUGUCGCAAGACCAAAGUGGGGGACCUUCGGGCCUCAUGCCAUCAGAUGUGCCCAGAUGGGAUUAGCUUGUAGGUGGGGUAACGGCUCACCUAGGCGACGAUCCCUAGCUGGUCUGAGAGGAUGACCAGCCACACUGGAACUGAGACACGGUCCAGACUCCUACGGGAGGCAGCAGUGGGGAAUAUUGCACAAUGGGCGCAAGCCUGAUGCAGCCAUGCCGCGUGUGUGAAGAAGGCCUUCGGGUUGUAAAGCACUUUCAGCGGGGAGGAAGGCGGUGAGGUUAAUAACCUCAUCGAUUGACGUUACCCGCAGAAGAAGCACCGGCUAACUCCGUGCCAGCAGCCGCGGUAAUACGGAGGGUGCAAGCGUUAAUCGGAAUUACUGGGCGUAAAGCGCACGCAGGCGGUCUGUCAAGUCGGAUGUGAAAUCCCCGGGCUCAACCUGGGAACUGCAUUCGAAACUGGCAGGCUAGAGUCUUGUAGAGGGGGGUAGAAUUCCAGGUGUAGCGGUGAAAUGCGUAGAGAUCUGGAGGAAUACCGGUGGCGAAGGCGGCCCCCUGGACAAAGACUGACGCUCAGGUGCGAAAGCGUGGGGAGCAAACAGGAUUAGAUMCCCUGGUAGUCCACGCCGUAAACGAUGUCGAUUUGGAGGUUGUGCCCUUGAGGCGUGGCUUCCGGAGCUAACGCGUUAAAUCGACCGCCUGGGGAGUACGGCCGCAAGGUUAAAACUCAAAUGAAUUGACGGGGGCCCGCACAAGCGGUGGAGCAUGUGGUUUAAUUCGAUGCAACGCGAAGAACCUUACCUGGUCUUGACAUCCACAGAACUUAGCAGAGAUGCUUUGGUGCCUUCGGGAACUGUGAGACAGGUGCUGCAUGGCUGUCGUCAGCUCGUGUUGUGAAAUGUUGGGUUAAGUCCCGCAACGAGCGCAACCCUUAUCCUUUGUUGCCAGCGGUCCGGCCGGGAACUCAAAGGAGACUGCCAGUGAUAAACUGGAGGAAGGUGGGGAUGACGUCAAGUCAUCAUGGCCCUUACGACCAGGGCUACACACGUGCUACAAUGGCAUAUACAAAGAGAAGCGACCUCGCGAGAGCAAGCGGACCUCAUAAAGUAUGUCGUAGUCCGGAUUGGAGUCUGCAACUCGACUCCAUGAAGUCGGAAUCGCUAGUAAUCGUAGAUCAGAAUGCUACGGUGAAUACGUUCCCGGGCCUUGUACACACCGCCCGUCACACCAUGGGAGUGGGUUGCAAAAGAAGUAGGUAGCUUAACCUUCGGGAGGGCGCUUACCACUUUGUGAUUCAUGACUGGGGUGAAGUCGUAACAAGGUAACCGUAGGGGAACCUGCGGUUG